rnacentral:rRNA from 1 species
UACGAACCGUCCAAACGUUAUUCGGAAUUACUGGGCUUAAAGGGUACGUAGGCGGCGCUGUUAGUCGGGUGUGAAAUCCCACGGCUCAACCGUGGAACUGCGCCCGAUACUGCAGUGCUUGAGGGAGACAGAGGUAAGCGGAACUGAUGGUGGAGCGGUGAAAUGCGUUGAUAUCAUCAGGAACACCGGUGGCGAAAGCGGCUUACUGGGUCUCUUCUGACGCUGAGGUACGAAAGCUAGGGUAGCGAAGGGG